ACUUAAAUAGCUUAAUAAAGAGCAUAAUAUUGAAGAUAUUAAGGUAAUGGAAAUUUUUGAGUA
rnacentral:tRNA from 1 species